AUGUGUUUAUUGCUAAAAUCCUUUUGGAAAAUGAACCAAAAGGAUAGAUUAUUGUUUUUCAUUUUUCUUACAAAAUUAUUCUCUGAAUUGUCCCCAUUCCAGCUCCUUUUAGGUGUCGUGACAUCAAAGGCUGAUUUCAUAAUGGCUGUGUUCUCGUGUGCUUCCCUAAUUUCAGACUGGGUCUUCAUGACAUACACCUACCGAAUUGGAAUGUGAUGACUGGACUUGAAGUACACAUGUUGGAACAUGGGGCAACCCUCUAAGGAUGAUGGAACAGUGAGACACAAGGACUCUGGGUCCUGGCACUGUGGGAAUCACCAUGCAAGCCUGGAGUCUUAUUUUACUUGAAGGAAUUUAAACUUCAAUCUAGUUUAAGCAACUGUAUUUUAAAUUUCCUGUCACAAAUAGCCAAAUCGAAUCCCAACAAAUGCAGUGUUCGACAGCAAAGGGAAAGUUAAAUUAUGAUAUAGGCACAGGGUAGAAUCCCAAGCAACUGUUAAAAAAUUUACUAAGAGGAAAAAAAUAAAUGACAUUCAAAAGAAGGAUAAACAAUAUUUGCAAAUAUUUUUAUUUUUUAAAUAUAUAUACACACAUAUAUGUGUGUAUAUAUAAGCAAGUUUAAUUGCAAUUCACUAAUUUUAAAGAAAAAGGCUACACUAACAGAUAAAUUUUAAAAUAUAGAAAUUAAAUAUUGAGGAAGUCUUGUCCCUGUGUGCAUUUUAAAAUAUAUGCUGUAGUUGUUAUGUUGAUGCAUAAAUGGUUAUAAUUACUCUUAAAACUGUAUGUGAGCCAGUUAUUUUUUUUUAUUUUAUUUAUUUUAUUUUUUUUUUUUGAGACGGAGUCUCGCUCUGUCGCCCAGGCUGGAGUGCAGUGGCCAGAUCUCAGCUCACAGCAAGCUCCGCCUCCCGGGUUCACGCCAUUCUCCCACCUCAGCCUCCCGAGUAACUGGGACUACAGGCGCCCGCCACCUUGCCCGGCUAGUUUUUUGUAUUUUUUAGUACAGACGGGGUUUCACCGUGUUAGCCAGGAUGGUCUCGAUCUCCUGACCUCGUGAUCCACCCGUCUCGGCCUCCCAAAGUGGUGAGCCAGUUAUUUAGUAGAUGGGCGAAUGUAUAUACUUUACAGCCCCUACUACUGAAAAAGGAUGUGAAGCAGAGGGACAUUCUAAAGAUGACAUCUAGCGGUUGCUGUGGUAACCUUAUAGACUACAUGUUAGAAAUCUUUUAUGUCAGUUUCUAGAGUUGGAAUUGGCAUCUUCUUAGCUUUAACAUACAAGAACAAGGCAAUAACUGUCAGUUAUUAACCCUUACAGGCUGUAUUUGUGAUGACUGUUCAGCCUAUAGAGAGUAGUGGAGUCACAGUGGAAGUGUUCAAGAGCAGCCCUACAAUGAUGGAAGGAAUCUAAAACCUGUGUUAGAAUUUUCAUGGCAACCUUGAAGAACUGUCACUGCAGCUAACGAUAAAAGUUCAUGUUUAUGACAGAGCACUUACUAUUCAACAGGCACAGUGCUAAACGCUUUAUAAACACCAUCUCAUUUACAUCUUACAGUAGUUCUAAAAAGUAGUAUUAUUAUUUUAUAAAAGAGAACAAAACUCAGACUUAGAAAAUUUAGGUGACGUGUUCUAAGUCCUAUCAUUAGGACACGAUUGUGCCAGGAUUCAAACCUAGGUCAUCCAUCUGCACUCGUAAGCACUGCUCUAUCCAGCGUCCAGGUGGUUGCCAUGAAACCCGGUCUGGGUCUAUUAUAAACAUGCCCCUUUAAGGGAAGUACUCUGUAGCGAUGCUGGCUUAUCCAGUCUAGCCUUAAUCAUCUACACUCAUUAAACAACAACCACUUUGAGCAUGACACUGUUGUGAUUUCACAAAGUAUGAUGUACUCUUGUUAUGACAUUAAAGUAUACAACUAAGCUUACAAGAAUAAUUGUGCCACAUCAUAAUUUUAUUUUGAAGCCUAGCUCCAAAGUAAGGCAGAAUGGCUAAAUGAGGUAAGCCUAAUAAGCAUGGUAGGGGAGAUGCUGCACAGCUGAGGCAGUGAGAGGACGCUUCCCCAAAGAGCUGACCUCGGAAUAAGCUCUAAAGCCUAGCUACUUGGAGAGCAGCUAUGGAGGGACAGCAAUGGCAUGCCUUGUUUGAAAUGCAGCAUCUUAGACCCUACCCUAGAUAUACUGAAUCAGAAUUUGCAUUUUAACAAGAUCCCCUGAGAUUUGCAGGCACAUUAAAGUUUGAAAAGCACUGCUUCAAAGAGCAGAUAGCAUUUCAGCAGCAUAUACAGAGGGAACAGCACUGUAGGUACAGGGAAUGGCACGAGCAAAGGCACAGUGGUGGGAAUGAAUACAGCCCUUUGGGGGUAUAUCAUAUCUGGUUGAGCUGUGGCACAAACUGGAAUGAAAGAUGGUGAGUAGUGGGAAGAUAGGUAGGGUGGAAUUCAUGGAGGGCUUAAGAACUACAUCUUGUUCUGGAGGUAAUGGGAAUAUCAAAGUUUUUGGUCAGAAGGUGAUGUAAUUUUUUUGUUGACUAGACUCUUAAAAUUUAUAAAGUAUUUAAGCUUUGUGAUACGUUCAGAACUUAACCUUUGGGUAAGACGUGACUCCAUAUAUUUCCUUUAGUCUUCAAAUCACCAAACAAAUCUAUUAUUAAUAGGUAUUAAUUUUGUGGAGGCUAUUAAAAGAGAAUGAAGUGAAUCCUGAUGGCAAAAAUGAACACUUCUGAAUUCUACACCAAUCAUGUAUUUACUGUUAGGGAUUUGAUGAUUAAACUGACCUAGGGGAUUUAAAAACCCACACAGUCUUGUCCUUCAUGAGUAGAUAGAACAAGUAGACAAAGUAUAUUGUCCCUCAGUAUUUUGCAUGGGUCAGGCUCCCUUUUGCUCUCUCGUUCUGAGAAGUGCUCCCAAAUCCCCCCAGGUUCCUUUGAUGAGGAAUCCGUGAGAGACAGAAGCUAUUUUGUAAAGCUGUCAGCUGUCCUGAAUAAGGCAGCCAGGAAUAAGAGAAACAGAUAAGAGGUACAUUCUCAGGCAUGAGGGGGAGCCUUGUCUGCCUUGGAUUAAAAGAAGGGAAGAGGAUUUUGGAGAGUGGGUGAGUUAACUGAAUGGACAGGCUGACAGCAGCGUUACAGAAACAAAAUGAGUCAACAAAGACACCCAAUGAUUGGUUGAGGAACAAAGACAAGGAAGGGAUAAGUGCAGCUAGACACAGGAUGCUUCAUAUCAGGAGCAGUUGCAUUUCUCAGGGAGGGUGAGUUAGAGGGAAAAGGGGAAAGGUAAAAAUCAAAAUCUCUGUUCCUGUACUUUGGGUCUUGCUAACUAGGACAUUCUUUGUUCCCACCAGUUGGUGACUUAACCAGUUCCCUUAAGGAAGCUCAAAGACUGAUAUAAUUGCUGGGUCCUACAAGUCAGAUGUUGGGAAGAUUUGCGUUGCCCUCAGUCAGGACUGGGCAUAGCUACUCAAAAUCUGACUAUCUGUAUGAUAUAGUUAACCUUCCCCAACAAAUAUAAUGACAGAUAACUGCAAUUAAUCUCAUCCGGAAAAGGGAACCCACACAUGGUGGGGUGGGCUAUGCCAUUAUCCAUAGCACAUGAGAAAAUCCUGUUGACCACAAGACGCAGGAACUCCUUACCCUGCCGGAGGUGUGUGUUCCUAGUGUGGCCUCCCCAGAUUCUGGUCACAACAGUGGUCUUUCUUAGCUUUUGUCCUUUGUGACCACAUCUAAGCUGGUCAUUAAGGACGAUAUUUCAGGGGCUUUGCCAACGUAACAGGCCAUUUUUAAUUGGGGGUUCAGCUGUCACAGUCCCUUAUUUGCCAGGUAAAAGUUUUGUGUUUAUUUGCAUUUGAUUAACUCCACAAUCAAAGCUGGAGAUAAUUUGAAUUUACUCAGAGCCUAGCGAUUUUCAUCUUUGAGUAACGGAUCUUGAUGAUUUGUUCAUGCCCUUAGCCCUCAGCUUAAAUGACUUCUCCCUGGGCCUCUUCAGGGCCAUUCAGAACAAUUUCCUGGGGUGGAGGUCACAGCUAAUAUGCCCCUUUUGCCCCCAGGUUGCAGCUCAGGGGAUGGCGUUUUGCUGAAGGUUGACUGCCAUUUUUCUUCAAUCAGAUAUGCCAGACUUAAGGAGAGUUUGGAAGAGACGUGGGGGUCAAGACUCUGAGGCUUCACUCUUAUCUCCUUGGUUAUGUUUUCCUUUUAUUUUCUUGCACUAACUUUACUUUGAUGGAGAAAAGUUUGCAUAUUUCGUCCUUAAAACUUGCCAGGUUGUGACUUUCAGUUCUCUUGGUUUGUUGGCGUCAGUCAGAAAGGGUCUAUUUUAGUGAUAUAUUUUCUUCUCUUUCUGCUUUCUGAGGGACUAUGUUCAGUAGGAGAUUAAAUUUUUCUUAUAAAUGUAUAUGAUCCCUUCCAAUUCCUGACCAUUUGGUCUCUGGCUUUAACAGACACACAACCAGUCUCAAAAUGUGAGCAGCGGUUUACCAGCAGCUGUGCAAUCACCCACGAAGAAUGCAGAUCAGCCUCUCAGCUUAGUAUUGAUAGGUCUCCUUGAAAACCUCCUCCUAGAUCCUCUCAGCUAAUCACUCUUGUUGGGGUCUUUUACUUACAAUUUCUUUCCCAAUUUGGAAUUUGUUUUGAUUGUUUAUGGAGUCAGUGAUGGAAAUCCAACCACUAAUUGGCUUAAACAUAUUG
rnacentral:lncRNA from 1 species